UACAGAGGGUGCGAGCGUUAAUCGGAAUUACUGGGCGUAAAGCGCACGUAGGCGGCUUUCUAAGUCGGGGGUGAAAUCCUGGAGCUCAACUCCAGAACUGCCUUCGAUACUGGAGAGCUUGAGUCCGGGAGAGGUGAGUGGAACUGCGAGUGUAGAGGUGAAAUUCGUAGAUAUUCGCAAGAACACCAGUGGCGAAGGCGGCUCACUGGCCCGGUACUGACGCUGAGGUGCGAAAGCGUGGGGAGCAAACAGG
rnacentral:rRNA from 1 species